UAUGUUUUAGUAUAUAUUGUACAAAAGUUUUUGGAGCUUUAGGAAUUAGAUAAUUUCUUUUAAAUGUAA
rnacentral:tRNA from 1 species